rnacentral:rRNA from 1 species
GAAUUCGAUUAACGCGAAGAACCUUACCAAGGCUUGACAUUGCCGGCGUACCCGCAGAGAUGUGGGGUCCUUUUGGGCCGGUGACAGGUGGUGCAUGGCUGUCGUCAGCUCGUGUCGUGAGAUGUUGGGUUAAGUCCCGCAACGAGCGCAACCCUCGUUCCAUGUUGCCAGCACGUGAUGGUGGGGACUCAUGGGAGACUGCCGGGGUCAACUCGGAGGAAGGUGGGGAUGACGUCAAGUCAUCAUGCCCCUUAUGUCUUGGGCUGCAAACAUGCUACAAUGGCCGGUACAGAGGGCUGCGAAACCGUGAGGUGGAGCGAAUCCCUUAAAGCCGGUCUCAGUUCGGAUUGGGGUCUGCAACUCGACCCCAUGAAGUCGGAGUCGCUAGUAAUCGCAGAUCAGCAACGCUGCGGUGAAUACGUUCCCGGGCCUUGUCACACCGAAUCACUA